AAGACAUACUGAGGCCCUGUCUUCCCAGUACUCAUACAUAAAGCAUGGAGGAUACAUAGGCUAUUACCUAGGGCAUGAUACUGAGGCUGUGGUCUAAGAACUCAUACAUUAUACAAGUUACAUCUACUGAAAACAGAACCCUCAAAGACUUAGAAUAGUGCAUAUAGUGGCUACAUCUACUGAAGCAAAGUCCUCACAUCACAUCAACUCGUCAGAUGAUAUAGUGGAUACAUAUCCAGAGCAAAUCAUGGGUACAAAUAAUGAGGCCGAGUCCUCCUAGUAACUC